AUGGAAGUGACAAGAAGUCACACUGUAAACAUUGCCACUGACUUACGACCACAGUCUUACCACAAUGUGGGAAUGUUACCUGCUUACGGAGAGAAAACCAUGAGGUUCACUGCAACUGAUGCAGCUAUGGAUGUGACAAGGAGUCACACUGUAAACAUUGCCACUGAUUUACCACUGCAGUCACACCAAAGUCUGGACUUUUUACCUCCUUUCGUAGAGAAAACGGUGAGGUUCACUGCUGACGAUGCAGCUAUGGAAGUGACGAGAAGUCACACUGUAAAAAUUGCCAGCAAUUCAGUAUCAGAUUCACUUCUUCCACACCGAGAUUCUAACAUUUUAUCCACCCAUGAAAGCACCGAUUUUCCUUUAUCUGCGAAGAAGACACAUCGUCCCUGUAGAAACCGAUCUUCAUCCUCACAAGCUUUGGAUCUCGGAUUUAAAUACUCCCUGUCUAGGAUGAGUGGCCCCUGGGCUAAUCCUCUGAUCACCAGAGCAGUGGCUGCGGCUGCACCGUCCCCUCAAGAAACUGUAGACACAAAUUGUUUCCUGGACCAACUUAAUACACAGAAGCCGGAUGUGGAUACUGAAAAAGAGGCUCCAGGUUUUGUUUCAGCUGUCAUGGAGAAGCCAGUAAACAAAAGCAUGGCAGCAGGUCCAGAGGACGAUGUAAGCAUAGAUAUGACUGAAGUUCAAACGGGUCACAUUUUGGGACAAGCGUAUACAGAUGAGCCACCUCAGUGCCCUUCUUCUGCACAGGACACCGAGGUCACUUCCAAACAGAGCAAUGAAGCACUGGGAUCAUCCAACCCCGACCAAAUCACAAACUUUCCCGAUUCUCUUGACUCAAAUGAAACUGACAACUGGAAGGAACCUGAACCAAGAAAUCAAACUGGUGCUUUAUCACAGAAGGUGGAGAGCUCACCCAGUGCUGUUGAUGAUGCCGCGCCCUCAUUGAAGUCUAGACGAAUUAGUUUAGCCGAUCUUCAGUCAAAAGUAAGGCGUUUGAGCCACAUGGUGAAGACAGCUCCUGAUACUGUUGCCACGGACGGCUGCACGGCACCUUUGCCUCGGCUGCAAUGCGACAUGGACAAAAACUCAAAUGACCAAACCAACUCACUACCUGUAACAGAGCCUGAACGUGAAGAACAUACACAAGCUCAAUGUCUUAUGCAAGAACAACCCCCCAUUACUACGACUCCUUUCAACUUGAAGACGAAAGAACUUAUGUCCAGACUCUCAAUGGGAAGCUUUAAGGCAAAGCUCCCCCAAAGAAGCAAACCCAACGAUCCCAAAGAGGGAGAGUUAUGUGGGAGAACAUACAAGGACAGUCAAUGUUACUAA
rnacentral:lncRNA from 1 species